GUAGCCUAGUGGUUAGAGUGUAGAGGCGGCAGGGUAGCCUAGUGGUUAGAGCGUUGGGGCGGUAGGGUAGCCUGGUGGUUAGAGCGUUGGGGCGGCAGGGUAGCCUGGUGGUUAGAGCGUUGGGGCGGCAGGGUAGCCUAGUGGUUAGAGCGUUGGGGUGGCAGGGUAGCCUAGUGGUUAGAGCGUUGGGGUGGCAGGGUAGCCUAGUGGUUAGAGCGUUGGGGUGGCAGGGUAGCCUAGUGGUUAGAGCGUUGGGGUGGCAGGGUAGCCUGGUGGUUAGAGCGUUGGGGUGGCAGGGUAGCCUAGUGGUUAGAGCGUUGGGGUGGCAGGGUAGCCUGGUGGUUAGAGCGUUGGGGUGGCAGGGUAGCCUGGUGGUUAGAGCGUUGGGGUGGCAGGGUAGCCUAGUGGUUAGAGCGUUGGGGCGGCAGGUAGCCUAGUGGUUAGAGCGUUGGGGCGGCAGGUAGCCUAGUGGUUAGAGCGUUGGGGCGGCAGGUAGCCUAGUGGUUA
ensembl:lncRNA